rnacentral:lncRNA from 1 species
AUUGGGGGGAAAAAGAAAUCAUAAUCAGCAAAAAUCUUAUACACAGCAUUUCUGCUAUGAUUCUUNNNNNNNNNNNNNNNNNNNNNNNUAUAUUGUCAAAUAUAGAAUCAAAUAUUUAUUCUUGAUAAUAUUAAACUCCACUUCCAUACAAGCUUUGUUCAAGGUGGAGACAUGAGAAACUGUUUGGGUACGGUAUGGAGAAGAAGAAAGCAAGGAAGAGAACCCCAAAAGGGGAUUGGCUCCCCUGUUCGAAUAUUAUGAAAGAGAAGGCAUAAAAUUUGACCCGGACAUUAAAAUCAGCUCCUUAUUUAAAGUAACUUUUCAUAAAAGAGUGAUGUUUGCAUCCCUAAAUUUUAGUAUUGCCAAAAAUCUGACUCUCUAGCUCCGUAUACUGAAGUGUUAACUCAAGGCGAAGGAUCAAGGUCUUCAUAAUAUGUACUCGAUCAAACACAAUAAUAGGAGAUAUAUAAUAUCUUGGCUAUUAUAAAAGUACUGACACCAGAUCAACAAAAAUCUUAACUAGGGUGCGUGCUUUAGUUAAAGUGAGACUCCAAGACCUAGAUGAUCUUCCUUACCAUCCUAUAUAUUAGACUUCAAAACAAAAUCAAACAAAAAAAACAAGGAAAAUGACAACAAGUAAUAGACCAC